rnacentral:lncRNA from 10 species
GACUCUGCGAGCACCGCUCCCGCCCGGUCAGGGGCAGGUCCCGCGCCCGCCGCCUGCGGGACCCGAACCGGCGUCUUGAGAAGCCCGGCCCUCCUCCCUCCUCUCUCGCCCCGCGCCCGCCGCGAGCGAUGCCCCGAGACCCAGCCCACGCCUAGAGCGGGCAGCGGCCUGGCGGUGGGGUCGAAAGCUACGGCACAGAGCCGUGCCUGAGUCGGAAAGAAGCCUCGGCGGAAGCGGAAGCGGAAGCGGAGAUGGCCGCAGCGGAGCGGGCAGGGGCCGUGUGUGACCCUGGCCGGGUCAUUUCCGUCGGGCCGGGCAGGGUCCGUGGGGGCUCGGGCGGGGUUGGUGGGGACCAGGGCGCAAGCCAAGAAGGGCGGCGCGGCCGGGGGCGGGGACUGGGACGGGGCCAGCGCUCCGAGGAAGACGCGGGGAGCCUGGGGCAUGGGGCCAGGCUCGGGGCGCCGGGAGGUGACCUUCCCUCGCUGGCCCUGCACGAAGCACGACCUUCCUCGGGUUCAGCUCGCUCCCCUUGCAGCCCCUGGCAAGGAGGACCCUGAGCAUCUGUGUAGCCUGGAUGACCUUGCCCCGGAGGAGCCGAGGUGGGCACGCUAGGAGAGGCCCCCAGGGAUGACAUGGCGACCCGAAUGGCAGAAUCAUGUGGUCUCUCAUACCGCGGAACAGUAGGUCACGAUGAAAAGGAACCAUGCGGAUUCAAAGGACUGAUUGUCAGCUUAGGCAGAGCCCAGAAACACACGUGAAAAUUUACUGGAAAAACAGAGAGGGAGCCUGGGACUGGGGAUGGGGGACAAAGGGGACUUUAACUUAAUUGGCAUUGUUUUGUUUCUAGUCUAUGGAAGAGGCAGAGGUGGGAACACGAGUGCCUAUUAGGAUACUGUAUACUUUUUUGGUAAAUCUUUUAUUUUCUUUAAAUUAAAUAAAGGGGGGAAUUAGGUCCCCCUGUUCUUGUUUGGCCUGUGGCCACAGCAUCUGUUCCAGGAGAGAGGUGAGUCUGCAUGGGUGGGGGAAGAGAAGCCCUUAUCUCAGGGCAGGGCUCAUGCUCGCUGGGGACAGCCACCCUGCCACCACCACUGCCAAAUUAAGCCUUAUUUGUGUGCAGAUUUUUUUUUCUGGAGACAGAGUCUUGCUCUGCCCAGGCUGGAGUGCAAUGGCACGAUCUCGGCUCACUCCAACCUCCACCUCCCGGAUCCAAGCAAUUCUCCUGCCUCAGCCUCCCAAGUAGCUGGGAUUACAGGCACCUGCCACCACUCCCGGCUAAUUUUUUGUAUUUUUAGUAGAGAUAGGGUUUCAUCAUGUUGACCAGGCUGAUCUCAAACUCCUUACCUCAGGUGAUCCACCCGCCUCAGCCUCCUAAAGUGCUGGGAUUACAGGCAUGAGCCACCGUGUCUGGCCUCCUCUCUAUGCUUUUAAAAACUCUCUGGACUCGGCCAGGCGCGGUGGCUCACGCCUGUAAUUCCAGCACUUUGGGAGGCCGAAGCAGGCGGAUCUCUGGACUCAACUAAUGAUGCUGGAAAAACCGCAUAUCCACAUGCAAAAGAAUGAAGUUGGACCCUAACCUAGCACCAUAUACAAAAAUUACCUCAAAAUGGAUUCAGGACAUAAACAUAAGACCUGUAACUAUAAAAAUCCUGAAAGAAAACAGGGGGAAAGGUCUACAACAUUAGAUGUGGCAAUGAUUUUUUUAGAUAUGACCCCAAAAGCAAGAAUAGACAAAUAGGACCAAGUCAGACUUUAUAAAAACUGCACAGCAAAGGAAACAACAGAAUGAAAGGCAAUCUGUGGAAUGGGAGAAAAUAUUGCAAAUCAGAUAUCUAAUAAGGAAUUGCUAUCCAAAAUAAAAUUUAGACUCCUACCACUCGACAACAACAAACAACUCACUUAAAAAUGGGCAAAAGGCUGGGUAUGGUUGCUCAUGCCUGUAAUCCCAGGCUUCCCUUGGGAGGCCAAGGUGGGAGGAUCACUUGAGGCCAAUAGUUAGAAACUAGUCUGGGCGAUAUUGUGAGACCUCAUCUCUACAAAAAGUAAACUAAAACAAGGCAGGCAUGAUAGCACCUAUAGUCCUAGUUACUUGGUAGGCUGAGGCAGGAGGAUCACUUGAGCUCAGGAGUUCAAGGUUGCAGUGAGCUAUGAUUGUGCUACUGUACCCUAGCCUGGACAACACAGCACAAGAAAAAAUAAAGUGGACCUUUUCAUCAGUUAUAACAAGUGCACAACUCUUGUUCAGGGGAAGCUGUGCAGUUGGGAGGGCAGAGAGUAUGUGGGAGCUCUCUGUACUUUGUGCUCAGUUUUGCGUGAAUCUAAAACUGCUCUGAAAAAUUAAGUCUGUGAAAAGGAAGAAAUGAACUACCAAGUCAUGAAAAAAACACAGAAGAAUCUUCAAUGUAUAUUACUAAGUGAAAAUGCAUACUACUGCUAUGGUUUGAAUGUGUCCCCUAAAGUUCAUGUGUUAGAAACUUGAUCCCCAAUGUGGUGGUCUUGGAGAUGGGACCUAGUGGGAAGUGUUUGGGUCAUGGGGCCACUACCCUCAUAAAUGCAUUAAUGCCAUUCUCAAAGGAGUGGGUUCAUUAUAGAGCAAGUAGUUUUCUUAUAAAAGAAGUUUGCCUUCCCACCCUCUCUUUGCCCGGCCUCUGGGUUGAUGAAGCAAGAAGGUCCUCACCAAAUGCCAGCUCCUCGAUCUUGGGCUUCCCAGCCUUCAGUCCCACGAGCCAAUAAAUUUCUGUGCAUUAUAAAUUACCUAGUCUAUGGUAUUCUGUCUUAGCAGCACAAAACGGACUGAGACAAGCUAAACUGAAAAGGCUACAUACUGUAUUAUAUGACAUUCUAAAAAAGGCAAAACUGUGGAAACAGUAAAAAUAUCAAUGGUUGCCAGGGGUUGAGGGGUGGGAAGGAUGAGUAGAUAGGGCACAGAGAGUUUUUAGGGCAGCAAAACUAUUCUGCAUGAUAUAAUGGUGGAUACAUAUCAUUAUAUAUUUGUCAAAACCCAUAGAGGGGUUCUGGGCUGGGAAAAAUAAAGAAAAAAAAAUCCCAUAGAACGUUCAACACCAAGAGUGAACCCUGGUGUAAACUAUGUACUUUGGAUGAUGAUGUGUCAAUGCAGGGUCAUCAGUUGUAACAGAUGUACCACUCUAGUGGAGGAUGUUGAUGGCAGGGGAGACUAGGGAGAUACGGCGGCCAUGGGUAUAUAGGGAACUCUGCUUUCUGCUUAGUUUUGCUGUGAACCUAAAACUGCUCUUUAGAAGUCUGUUUUACAAGGCCGGUUGCAGUGGCUCAUGCCUGUAAUCCUGGCACUUUGGGAGGCCAAGGCGGGUGGGUCACCCAAGUUCAGGAGUUCGAGACCAGCCUAGGCAACAUGGUGAAACUCCAUCUCUACUACAAUACAAAAAAUUAGCUGGGUGUGGUGGCAUGCACCUGUAAUCCCAGCUACUCAGGAGGCUGAGACAGGAGAAUUGCUUGAACCUGGGAGGCAGAGGUUGCAGUGAGCCGAGAUCAUGCCAUUGCACCCUGGCCUGGACAACAGAGUGAGACUCCAUCUCAAAAAAAAAAGUCUCUUUUACAAAAACGGGGCUGGUCUCUGUGACUGACACGCAUAAGGUCAGGAGUUCAAGACCAGCCUGACCAACAUGGUGAAACCCUGUCUCUACUAAAACUACAAAAAUUAGCCAGGUGUGGUGGUGUGCACCUGUAGUCCCAGCCACUUGGGAGGCUGAGGCAGGAGAAUUGCUUCAACCCAGGAGGCAGAGGUUGCAAUGAGCCGAGAUUGUGCCACUGCACUCCAGCCUGGGCAACAGAGCAAGACUCCAUUUAAAAAAUAAAUAAAUAAAUAACAAGAAAAAUAAUUUUUGAAUUCUUUCCUCUCUGACCCCCUGCUAUGAAUCAUUAUCAACCCUGGGCCACAUUGUAGUUGCCCUUUGGUGGGGUCACUGUGGGUUCACCCAGGUCCACUUCUCAGCUGGGUAGGCCUAGGAGCUGGUUCUGGAACACAGAGCUCCAAGUGGGCAGGAAUCAAGCCUUACUCACCUUCAUACAGCGUGGUCAUAAGAGCACCUAGUCAUUUAUUCCUUCAGCAAAUCAUUGAGCAUCUACUGUGUGCCAAAUACUGUUCUCAAUGCUAGGGCUAUAGCGGUGAACUAAGCAGCACAGAUCUCUGCCCUUAUGGGGCUUCCAUUCUUAAAUAAGCAAAACAUACAGUCUAUCAGUUGGUGAGAAGUACUAGGGAGAAAAAUACAGCAGGGAAGGAGGCUAGGAUGUUCUUCAGGAGGGGGAGAGUUGCAGCUUUUUUUUUGAAAU